rnacentral:lncRNA from 1 species
GGCGAUUUCUGGUCUAGGGUGAGAGAUAACAGAAAGUAACAAUGGAGGCUCUCGCAGUGCUCGCAGGCACUCAAGGAACGGAAAGGAAAUUGCACAUUUCACCCGUGACUGCAUAGGCAAACGAGAACAGCAAGUCUCUGCUUUCAGCUGGAAUGUUAUCAACUUCGGUCACGCUGAUUAUCUCAGGCUGAUCAGGAAGGCUGGUACCAGGAGUGAGUGACUAAAUGAAGAAAUUACUAAUUAACAAAUGCUUGGGUGGACAAUCCUUCAAAAUUUAGGAUCAAUGGGAGGAGACAGAAGGAGUCUUGGGAGGAUUUUUAAAAUAUGCCAGAGCUGGCUGGGUACAGUGGCUCACACCUGUAACCUGAGGACUUUGAGGUGGAGACGGGCAGACCACCUGAGCUCAGGAGCUCAAGACCAGCCUGGGCAACAUGGCAAAACCCUGUCUCUACUAACACUAUAAAAAGUUAGCUGGGCGUGUUGGUGCAUGCUGUAGUCCCAGCUACUCAGGAGGCUGAGCCACGAGAAUCGCUUGAACCUGGGAGAUGGAGGUUGAAGUGAGCCAAGAUCGCACCAUUGCACUCCAGCCUGGGGAAAAAAAAAAGCCAGGCCUCCUAAUGUACUCAUUUAAACAUCACUUGUGUCCACCUGGGUUCAGAAUUGCGCUGGACAUGGGAUACACAAAGGUAAGACAUGGACCCACCCUCAAGUCUGAAGGUGGAGGUGGGGAAGGGCAGAGGCUGUAAAGGGUCAGAGGGACCUUGUGGAGUGGUGGAAAUGUUCCAGAUCACACUGUGGCGGUGGUCACAUGACUGUGCACACUUACGACAACCCAUCUAAUUGUAUACUGUCAGUCAAAGGGCAUUAUAUGUAAAUCACACCUCAAUAAAGCUGACCAAAAAGUGGCCAGUCAGCCACCAGCAGACCCAUGGGAUAGGGGAAGAAAAACAAGCAAUCUACAGAACGUGGGAAAAUGCCUAUAUUAAGAAUCCUGGAAUACUCCAUGUGCUUUUUCAUGCAGCGGGAGUGGAAUUUUCAGGAAGCAGCUGUGCUGUGGGUGACGGUCAUACUUUAUUCUCUAAAACUCUCCAGUUUCAAUUGGCCUCUUGGUGCCAAAGCACCAUGGCGUGUUACACCUAUCAGAUCGGGCACACUGCCCCUUCUUCCCAACCUACGAGCUGAAAUGGCCAGCACUGCGCCUUCCAGAACCCAGCGUAGAUGCACAGCUGCCACGGAGGUAGGAAGAAUGAUUCGUUUGCCACCAAAAGCCCAGUUUCUCCAACAGGUAAGUCCCAGCAGGGUGCGAUGUCCCAAACCUACACAACCGUUUCCACUGCCUAUUCCCGGGCCCCUCACUUGGGUCAAGGCAGCAUUUCAGAGGAAGCCAGGAGCGAGAACUCGUGCAUCCGAACCCUUCUCUGACUUGGCGGGUUAUUGGAUUAGCUACUCUCAGAAGACCCAAAAGGCAUAGGGGAGAGAAGAGAUAAAUCUGGAUGCGGUGGAGACAACGGCCAAACAGAAAAACCGCUUGGAGAAUAAAAGUCGGGGGAAGCCUGUAGUGGGGACGCUAGACUCAAGGGAAGGCUCUGGAGGAAGGAAGAGGCUAAAGGCAUAGUUUCGUAACCCCUCCCUACAAACUACCCCCUUUCCCUCUGCCCAAGUGAGCACAGGGACCGCCCCGCAGCAAGACGACGGCAGAUAUUUAAAAUGUGAGGAACCCCGGCCACAGCGGGCGGGGCUCCCCACCCAUCACCUAGUGUCCUCACUCACUGCACUCCAGACUUUGUCAAAGUGGUGGCAGCUGAGUCCAGCACCAGAGAUUGGUGAUGCUCGGGUUGAUUUCAUUGUCAAGUGCAUCUGGCAGGACUCUAGUUUGUCGACAGUAUUCCAGACAAGGUGUAGCUGGCUGAACCGCAGUGCCUCGGCAUUUGGGACCAUUGAAAAAUACUCUGGAUUCUUUUUUUUUCUUUUGCAAUUGCACAAGGAUUUACUUAUCUCUCUUCAUGGGUGAAACUGAUUUGGGGGGAAACUGCUAGACUCAAUGACCAGUUGGACUGUAGGCAAGAAGGCCCAUGAUUUUGUUCCUCAGAUAAAAGAGCAGCAGGGAAACAGGAGGCCUCUCUCCUGCAAAGCUGGUCCAAAGUGCACACAAGGCAUGGCUGAGCGCCUGGUGAUGCACAGUCAGCAGACGGGCGAGACCCAGGAACGUGUACUGUAACAAGAGAGUCUAGUGCAGGUUGUUGGGGGGGCUUGAGGCUAUCCGCUGACAUCUUUUCUCCCCAGUCAGGAGACAGUAGGGGAGAUGGUUCUCAUAGAUCAAGUCGGGCUUUGAGAAGGAAGGUGAACAGGAGAAAAAAAAAAAUAGAGGCCUCAGAAAGCCCCUCCCUCCCAAGUCUCUCCUCACAGGCGAACCACGACAGAUGGCUGCGCGGCCUGAGGGCCGGCCUCCAGGCAGCCAGGGAGGAGCAGCUGCAAGUCCUGCAGUCUGUGAGACCCCCGAAGGGUCUGGGCCAGCAUCCAAGGCUAAAGCCUUGGCUAUCCUAACGCCGCAGUGGGGCACUUAAAGCUCCUCACGCCCAAGCCCAGGCCUGGUGGGAGCACGGUUCUCUCCCGCGCUCCCCCUCCUCCCCACUCCACGGCCACCCUUCCUUCCAAUCGUCCCCCUGGAGUUCGUGUUGGAAGAUGCCAGUGAGCACGUCUCAGGGCUCUACGCCUUGCACGGAUGAGUAUGGGGUGACUCAGAGGGAAGGGGUGGUGGCAGAUGCCUGCAGCUGGCUCCCAGCCAGGUUUGGCCAUCCUGCGUAAAUGCCUGCCUUGGGUCUUGGCCUAAUACUAAGGGCAAAUCCCAAGAGGGGUGAGUGGGCUUCUGGAAUCUGAGCAAUUCUGCUUUCAAAACAGGUGAAUCCCUAGGCCAGCCCGGCCCCUUCCCACACACCCCUACCCCGAGACGGGUGCAGAAUCAGCAGCGGGGAUCAUCCAGAGACUCUCGCAGUCCACGGCAGGUGUCGGAGUGGGCCUCAUUCCAGAGUUGUGGUGGCCGCUCCACCUGGCGAGCUUCGAGGGGACUCCGGCAGGCGCUCGCUGUGGGGUCCUCCCACCAGUCUUCUCAGCACAGGAACGGUGCCUUCACAUUGGUCUUCCGGGGCUUAAAAGCAUAUCAUUCCUGCUUGCUCUUCAGAUGCAAACUCCCCCUCCAAGGAUACCUCCAGGUUCCCUGCCAGCUCACUUGACUCACAUGGCAAUGGUCACCGGGCUGCCUGAGCCCAAAUCAAGCACCGUUUAUUAGGGGGAAGCUCCGUUAUCCAGAAAGCUCAUCUUUGAAGAGCUACCCAUUUCCUGCCAAAGUUGUGGCGGGAAGGCCUUAGGUACUAGAAAACCUUGGGGAAUGGCAAUUAAAGGAUUAUCAUUCUUACUUAUUUGUUUGGAUAAGCAGCAAUCACCCUUCGGAUGCUUAUUGGUGAGAAUAUUUCUAAAAGUGUCCUGCACAUUUCCCUGCUUUGAUGAAUGGAACGGCAGGGCAGGAUUUAACUGUCUGAUGGCUACGGUUUUGGGAAAGUGCCAGAACCUCCACGUCAGCCACCCCAGAGCCACAGGCAGGGUAUGAGCCACAGCAAUGGGCCCCAAGAAAGAGCCCCACACCCACCAUGGUCCACGGAAGACGCUGCUUACUGGCCCCGGGUUACCUGGAGUCAUGUGCAUUCUCCUUACAUCAAGUGAAGAUAAUAUUUUGUUUCCUUCCCACUUUUUCUCUAACACAAGCCACCCCAGUUCUCCCUUCUGACAACAGGCAAGUGGACCCUAGUAGACCUUCCAGAAAAGCCUUAGAGAGCACCCCCAAAUGCUCACAUUUGUCAGCUGUAAUUCCACCCUCAGUUAAAACCUGAUUCUCAAUGUGACUUGGCCAACGCAGCUUGCAAAGCAAGAACGUCUUCAUCUAAGGUUGAAAACAUCAGUUGUUUGGGUUGUGAGAAAAGAAAAGCCCACAAGGUUUCCGAGGCUUGGUGCUGUUUCUCACUGUCCUCAGCUCCUGAUUCUGCAGCUGGUUCUCUCUCCAAGCACUAGCAAAACCCUGCCCUAGGAGCCCCCAGACUCUGAGAGCCCAUGACCAAAAAGAAAAGGAAAGCCAAGUUGGGGAAGAACAGGGGCCCCCAACUCCACAGCCCUCCACUCUGCCCAGAGGGCCCACCCUGGGCUGCCUGGAACCCCCUAAAGUUGCCACCCCCGCAACACAGUAGUGGGGCAGUUCCUGGCAGCGCCUGCAGCCCAUGGGCUGGCUCUGUACCCGCAGCCCCGCCAAGCGUCUGUUAUCUUAUUUACUGGAAUCUGCACAGCCAGGCUCUAGCUCACCGGUGACUAAGGAGCUGCAGCCAUUAUUACCAGGCAGAUGGCAGACUCCCUAAAAGCAGACAUUAAACAAUAAAAUGCCACCACAUACCUUGCCCACAAAAUAAAAUCAAAACAAACACCUAAGUCUGGCUUUGCUUUUCUUCUGCUCUCUCCCUACCUCCCCUGGGUCAGAGCACAGGGGGAGAGGUGCACGGGGCACCGAGAAGGAAAUUUACGAUCGAGGAAGACCAUACGGACAUGCCCAGUGACCUUCAGAAGGUGGCAGUAGCAGAACCACCAUGGGACCCCAGGUGGCGGAGAGGGCAGACCCUGUCCAUGUGUGACAGGUGGGGCAGAACCACCAGCUAGGACAGGUGGGAUUGGAAGAACAAAGGAACGACAGGGACCCUGCAGAACCCACAGCCCUCUCGCCUCAGUCGCCUGAUGAAUAGUCAAAGUGCUAAGACCUGGAGAAUUCCAUCAAAAACUCAGUUGCUCCCA